AAUCAACGCUGGCGGCGUGCCUAACACAUGCAAGUCGAGCGCGAAAGCGGGGCAACCCGCAAGUAGAGCGGCGAACGGGUGAGUAACGCGUGGGUGAUCUACCUCCGAGUGGGGAACAACAUCGGGAAACUGGUGCUAAUACCGCAUGACAUCCUCAGGUCACACUGAGGAUCAAAGCCGGGGACCGUAAGGCCUGGCGCUUGGAGAGGAGCCCGCGUCCGAUUAGCAGUUGGCGGGGUAACGGCCCACCAAGGCGACGAUCGGUAGCCGGCCUGAGAGGGCGGACGGCCACACUGGGACUGCGACACGGCCCAGACUCCUACGGGAGGCAGCAGUGGGGUAAUUUUUCGCAAUGGGCGCAAGCCUGACGAAGCAACGCCGCGUGGGGAGUGAAGGUCUUCGGA
rnacentral:rRNA from 1 species